rnacentral:tRNA from 1 species
GGACCUGUAGCCUAGCCUGGGAAUUUUUAACUCGUAAAAAUUAGGUAAAUAGGGCGUCGGACUUCUAAUCCGAAAGUCGCAGGUUCGAAUCCUGCCAGGUCCG